rnacentral:misc_RNA from 1 species
GAUGAAGAACGUAGCGAAAUGCGAUAAGUAAUGUGAAUUGCAGAAUUCAGUGAAUCAUCGAAUCUUUGAACGCACAUUGCGCCCCCUGGUAUUCCGGGGGGCAUGCCUGUUCGAGCGUCAUUACAACCCUCAAGCUCUGCUUGGUAUUGGGCCCCGCCAGUUCUGGCGGGCCCUAAAGUCAGUGGUGGUGCCUUCCGGCUCCGAGCGUAGUAAUUCUUCUCGCUCUGGAGACCCGGUUGUGUGCUUGCCAACAACCCCCAAUUUUUUAAGGUUGACCUCGGAUCAGGUAGGGAUACCCGCUGAACUUAAGCAUAUCAAUAAGCGGAAGA